UAUGACCCUGCAGUGUGUUUUCUGGCCUCUUUCCUCUUACUAGCUGUCAUCCCAAAAUGGCUGAGCUCUUGUCAAGGUGGUGAGGAUUCCUUCUCCACAGUCUCCAGGGCCCUGCUCACCUGCCAGCCCACCUUCAGGCAUUUCUGACCCUCAGGCUUCACACCAGCAUGUCCUUGCCGCAGACAGGGAACAGGACUCAGAGCUGUGUGGUGAGUGUGUCUGGUGUGUCCUUUGUGCCAAACACUCCGAGGUUGCUUGCCUGAGAACCCCAAAGAGGAAGCAGGCCCAGGGCAUCAAUGUCCAGUUCCAGCCCACAGCCCAGCCUAGGAGCCCAGGCAAGACCAAGACCCCCCACGUCCUUUUACAGUGCUCUGAGCAUUUGCUCUGCCACUAGGUUGGAAAGCCCAGUCCAGAGUGUCGCUGUCAGGACCCACUGUGGCCUCCCAGGGCCACCAGGAUGGGGACUCUUGUUUCUGGCAUCUGUGCCUCAGAGGGUUCAGCAGGGACCAGACACAGCCUGUCCCUGCCCUGGGCAGCCCCUGCGCCCACUUGUUGUCUGGACCCUGGUGAUCACCUCAAGAGAGUGCAACAGGACAUCCGUUGCUUCCUCCUGUCACACUCUGAUUCUGGAAGGGGGUUCUUCCGAUGGACACCCACAGGCCCUGGUUUCUUGGGCCCUCACAUUCCCACAGUGAUUUCCAGGGACCAUGUUUCUACUUCCUUGUGCCUCAUGUCAUGGCCAGGCCAUUACACACUGCCCACAAAUCAUGAAAAUCCCCCAAGGAGGGGCAAACCGUCUGCAAGUCAGCUCGCUGAGCUGAUUUGUUCUUAUCUUCUUAAACCAGAAUGACAGCUGUGCUAACAGGAGCCUCCAUCUACCUUGGGACUCCAUCCACACACUGAGCCUCUCGUCAUUGGUUAGCUGAGAACUGUUCAUAGGGCACUGUCCUCACGACUGUAGAAUCCAAAAGCUCCUGCCUGGAGGAGUACAGUGUCAGUCCUGGUGAAAAGAGGCCAGCUGCUUGGGGUGUAAUGUCCCUCUGUGUGGGCCUCUGUAGUACCUCUAUACAAAUAAAUGAAAUUUCCAUUUACUCUGGAAAUCGUCUGGGCACUGACCUCUCCGGUGGAGUGUUUUUCUGGCAUUGCCUAAGACAUUCUGGGUAUUCCAGGUCCCAGUGUUUUUUAUGUCCUUUGGUCACUGGAUGGUCUCAAUCAUAACCUCACACCAUCUACCUGUCUCUCAGAAAUUUUCUGGUCUUCAGUCCCAGUGGGAGCUGCUGGGUGGAGCUCAUGGGCCUUUCCAGGAGCCUGUGGGCCUCAGACAGUUCUGGGAUUCCCUCUGGCGUGCUGGGCUAGUAUCAGCUGAGGGCAGACCUGCCUUCUGUUUCACAGUGACACGUAGGGGAAG